CGCGCGCGCGUGCGCAGCGCGGGCAGCGGGCGGCAUGUCGGCGCUACGCUGGACCCGAGGCGCAGCGGGGUUCGGCCGGGCGUUGAGCUCCUCGGGGCGCCGCCGCCCGACCUCGGAGGAAGGGACCCUCAGUGGCCUCUGUAGCUCAAGAAGGAGCUCCGCCGCAAGUCCCCGCGAGCAGGAUGUCCAGAAGGAGUGGGGCCACGCCGAACUGCUGGAAGUGCUGGAGGCUCGGGUGCGGCAGCUGCGGGCGGAGAGCAUGUCUGAGGUCAUGGUGAAGAAGGUGCCCCCCCCAAAGGGCGACAGCAGCCGCUGGACCCAGAAACUGGAGGCCGAGAGAGAGGUGCACCGGAAGCGCCAGGAGCGGUUUAUUGACCAGCAGCAGCAGGUCCUGACAUUGCAGAUGGAACCCCGGAUCUGGAGCAAGAAGCUGGCUGGCUGCUUGCAGCAGAGCCAAAAGGGGGCGCCCCGGAGCCAGGGGGAGGAGGAGCAGCGGCUGGCCCAGGCCCUGAAGGCCGCGCUGCCAAAGCUAAGUCCCAGCACCCUGGCGGAGACGAAGGCCACAGCUGUGGAGGCCAGCAUCUUGCUUCUCCAGCAGAAGUUUCUGGCUUUCUUUGAGUGCUGUGCCAUAACUGACAACAUGCCCCUGGCCCACCACGUGCUGGUCACUCAGCACAACAAGUGUGACAAGCAGCAGCUGCUCACACUGGACAUGUACAACACGGUGAUGCUCGGCUGGGCCCGCAAGGGCUCCUUCAAGGAGCUGGUGUAUGUGUUCAUCAUGCUGAAGGACGCUGGCCUCUCCCCAAACCUGUGGUCCUACGCAGCUGCACUCCAGUGCAUGGGACGCAGGGACCAGGGUGUCCACAUCAUCCAGAGGUGUCUGAAGCAGAUGACGGAAGAAGGGUUCCAGCCCCAGCAGCUCUUCAGUGACCUGGUCCUGACAGAGGAGGAGAGGGACGCUCUGCUGAGAGCACUGGUCAAGGCUGAGCCCGCCUUCCGAGUGCCGCCACAGGCCCCAGACCCUGUCAACACAUCCACGCUGCUCAAGGAGAUCUAUGCCAGGGAGGGUCCCCAGUCCUACCCGAAGUUGCACCUGCCCCUGGAGACCCUGCAGGACCUCUUUCACCAGCAGCUGCAAGUGGAGCUGAGCCCCAGCGUCUGUGUCCAGUCAGUGGAGAAGGCCCCAGUAUUGACCAAGGAGGUCCUUGAGGCGCGGCAGACGCUGAAGGCGCUGCAGGGCCAAUGGGAGGUGGAGCUGCUGCGGGUGCUGCGCCACACCAAGGCCACCAUGGCCUACCAGGCGCGGGAAGGCCAGCCGACCCUCUACCCGUUCCUGUGCCUGCUGAGUGAAGAGGAGUUCGUGAGCAUGCUGAUGCAGGCUCUGCGGCUGCUGCCGGCACAGGGUGAGCCUCUCCUCCACCUGGCCCAUGACCUGGGCCUUCGUGUCUUAAAUCGACAUUUGGUGAAGAAGAAGCAGGAAACCAACCAUGUGCAGAAGCUGGGGCAGCAUUACUCACAGUACCUCCGGCUGCUGGCUUCCGACACGCAGGUGGAGGCGCCCUGCUUCCCUCGGGAGUACUGGGAAUCGCUGGGCCCAUUGGAGACCCCAAAGCAGCAUCCCUGGUCCGUGGCGGUGGUGCUACACCUGGGCAAGCAGCUGGCCGAGAUGUUGGUGCAGGCAGCGCGGAUGCCACGCAAUCUGGCCGCCCCACAGGCAUCGUGUCACCCCAUCCCGGUGCUGUACCACGUGUACUCCUUCCGAAGCUACCGCCAGAUCGGCAUCCUCAAGCCUCACCCAGCCUUCUCCCAGCUGCUGGAGACGGCAGCGGAAUCCACACUGACCUUCGAGACCACAGAAGUGCCUAUGUUGUGUCCGCCGUUGCCCUGGACGUCAUCGCACACCGGGGCCUACCUGUUGACCCCCACCAAGCUGAUGCGCGCCACAGAGGGGGUCACACAGCACCAGCAUCUCCUGGAGCGCUGUGCUCCCACCCAACUACACGGCGCCCUGGACACGCUCACUCAGCUGGGGAACUGCGCCUGGCGUGUCAACGGGCGCCUGCUGGACUUGGUGCUGCAGAUCUUCAGGGACAAGGGUUGUUCGCGCCUGGGCGUUCCUCCUCCACGCUCAGAGGCGCCACAGCCGGCUCAGCAGCGCCCUCCACCCGGAGCCACACCUGUGCACAAGGCGGAGCUUCGGAAGGAGCUGUCCCGCUGCCUCAAAGCUGCUCGGGAGAUGCACAGCCUGCGCAUCGAAGCCUUGUACCGCCUGUCGCUGGCGCAGUACCUGCGGAACCGUGUCUUUUGGCUGCCACACAACAUGGACUUCCGCGGCCGCACCUACCCCUGCCCACCGCACUUCAACCACCUGGGUGGUGACCUGGUGCGCGCCCUGCUCGAGUUUGCCCAGGGCCGGCCGCUGGGGCCACGCGGCCUCGACUGGCUGAAGAUCCACCUGGUCAACCUGACUGGCCUCAAGAAGCGUGACUCGCUGCGCAUGCGCCUGGCUUUCGCAGAUGAGGUCAUGGAAGAGAUCUUGGACUCCGCAGACAACCCCCUGACGGGCCGGAAGUGGUGGAUGGAUGCUGAUGAGCCCUGGCAGACCCUGGCCUGCUGCAUGGAGGUGGCACAAGCAGUCCGGUCCCCAGAUCCGGCUGCCUAUGUCUCCCACCUGCCGGUUCACCAGGAUGGUUCCUGCAAUGGCUUGCAGCAUUACGCCGCCCUGGGCCGGGACAGCGCAGGGGCCGCCUCAGUCAACCUAAUGCCCUCGGACCUGCCCCAAGAUGUGUACAGGGAGGUGGCAGCACAGGUGGAGCAGCUCCGCCAGCAGGACGCCGACCAGGGCCUCCGGGUGGCCCAGGUGCUGAAGGGCUUCAUUACCCGUAAGGUGGUGAAGCAGACCGUGAUGACCGUGGUGUAUGGGGUCACGCGCUACGGUGGGCGCCUGCAGAUAGAGAAGCGUCUGCGCGAACUCAGCAACUUUCCCCAGGAGUUUGUCUGGGAAGCCUCACACUACCUCGUGCGCCUGGUCUUCAAAAGCCUACAGGAGAUGUUCUCCAGCACCCGGGCCAUCCAGCACUGGCUGACCGAGAGUGCCAAUCUCAUCUCCCACACGGGCUGGCCUGUGGAGUGGGUCACACCCCUGGGCAUCCCCAUCAUACAGCCCUAUCACCGUGAGGCCAAGAUCCAGGUAAAAGGUGGCAUCCAGAGUAUCACCUUAACCAGCUCCAUGGACUUCAGCCAGAAGCCCAACACUUUGAAGCAGAAGAAUGGCUUCCCGCCCAACUUCAUCCACUCCCUGGACUCCUCCCAUAUGAUGCUGACUGCCCUGCACUGCUACAGGAAAGGCCUGACCUUCGUCUCUGUGCACGACUGCUUCUGGACCCACGCCGCGGACAUCCCGGUGAUGAAUGAGCUGCCACCCCUCAGGUGUGCCGUGAGCAGUUCGUGCGCCUGCAUAGCCAGCCCAUCCUAGAAGACCUGGCUAAGUUCCUGGAGAAGCGCUUCUGCUCUGUCUCCAGGUCCCUGAAGCCCUCAGAACGUGCCCUGAUCACCCAGCUGCAGAAGACACUACAGUCCUUGCCACAGACCGGGCAUGGCUAACAACAGGACUGCGUAGAGGUCUUGAGCCCAGAACCUACGAAUGGGACUUUAUUUGGAAAUGGAGUCUUUGAAGAAUCACACAGACGAAGUCAAGCUUCAGGGGGCCUUUGUGAGCACAGUUAAAGGAGUAAGAAGAAAGGUGCUUGGGGCUGGAGAGACGGCUCAGAGGUUAAGAGUACUGGCUGAUCUUCCACAGGUCCCGAGUUCAAUUCCCCACAACCACAUGGUGGCUCACAACCAUCUACAAUUCAAUC